rnacentral:rRNA from 1 species
GCGCUGGUCCGGGUGGUCCUGCCUUCCGGUAGGCACUGUCUUUGGCUGGCGUUCAACCUUCUGGUGAACUGGUCUGCACCUCGUGUGUGGGCCAGGGAACCAGGACUUUUUACUUUGAAAAAAUUAGAGUGUUUAAAGCAGGCAAGUUUUUGCUCGAAUACAUUAGCAUGGAAUAAUAGAAUAGGACUUUGGUUCUAUUUUGUUGGUUUCUAGGACCGAAGUA